rnacentral:lncRNA from 1 species
CUGCAGAAUAGGCAGAAGUGUUGGCAAAUCACAUAUCUGAUAAAGGACUUGUAUCCAGAAUAUAUAAAUAUAUAAAGCAGUCUUAAAAAUCAAUAGAAAGUCAAAACAAUAUGAUUUUUUUAAAAGGCAAAGAAUUUGAGUAGACAUUUCUCCAAAGACAUAUACAAAUAGUUUAAAAAGCACAUGAAAAAAAAUGGACAUUAUUAGCUAUCAGGAACAAGCAAAUCAAAUGCACCAUGAGAUACCAUUGCACACCCAUUAGGACUGAUAUAAUUUUAAAAACGAAAACAAAAAUCUGACAAUAACAAAAGUUAGCAAGGAUGUGGAGAAAUGGGAAGUCUCAUAAAUGGCAGGGGGAAUGUAAAAUAGUACAGCCACUUUGUAAAGCAGUUUGGCAGUUCCCCAAAAUGGUAAUCAGAGUUACAAUGGCUCAGGAGUUUCAUUGCUAGGCACUGAAUUGAAAUAUGAAAACAAAAUAAAAGAAAAAUGGAUGAGAAUUGAAAACUUACACCUACCACAAAAACUUGUACAUAUGUAUUCACGUGUAUUAUUCAUUACAAAAAAUGGAAACAGUCCAAGUGUUCAUCAAUUAGUGAAUGGAUUAACACAAUGUGGUGCAUCAGUAUAAUGGAAUAUUAUUCAACAAUUAAAAAAAAGUGUAGUGCUGAUGUGUCACAACAUGAAUGAACAUUGAAAUCAUGAUGUGAAGGGGGGGAAAAUCAAGUACAAAUGAUCACAUAUUGUUCGAUUCUAUUCAAUGAAAUGUCCAGAAUUGGCAAAUCUAUAAAGACAGAAAGUGGGUUGAUGGUUGUUAGGGACUAUGGAGAGCGGUUAAUAGGGAAUGACUGCUAAUGGGUUUGGGGCUUCUUUUGGGGAUGAUGAAAUGUUCUGGAAAUAGUGGUGAUGGUUGCACAACUUUGUGAAUAUUACUACAAACCAUUGAAUUGUGGAUUUAAGGAAAAAAAGACUAAAUGAAUGAUAGAAUAGUUGGAAUUAAAAAAAAUCAAUCAUUAGGAGAAUCAAGAUUGAUAUGGGAACUUCAUCAGAUAGGGUCUGGUGAAGAAGGGAAGCUGUGGAAGAAUGGGACUUAGCUUGCUUUGAUGCAAGUCUGAGGGAUGCCUUUCCACUUUACCAUGGCAGCUGCAAGCUGAUCCAACCCACAAUGUCUGGACUGUGAGUGGGUCUGCUGAAACUCAGAUGGUACCCAAGGAGAUUUAGGAUGAAACCUACAGAGAAAGGCCCUGAAGAUUUGCAAUCUACUUCCUUUGAGGUGUGCUGUUAAUCACAGUAGAUUUAGGACUAUCUUCUUUGUGAUUGAAAUAUGAGAAUGCAAUAAAAGACAUAUGAAUGAACAUUGACGUUGUGGCCACACAAAAUUGUACAUACAUAUUCAUUUAUAUAUUACUCAUUACAAAAAUGGAAACAAUCCAAGAGUCUAUCAACUGAUGAAUGUAUUAGCAUGAUGUGGUAUGUGAGUGUAAUGGAAUACUAUUCAAUAAUAAAAAUGAAUUGAUUGCUGAGUAUUCUUCUAGGCACUGGGA